rnacentral:lncRNA from 1 species
CCGGGUGUGGUGGUGCACGCCUGUAGUCCCAGGUACUCCAGAGGCUGAGGCAGAAGAAUCGCCUGAACCUGAGAGGCGGAGAUUGCAGUGAGCCGAGGUCGUGCCACCACACUCCAGCCUGGGUGAAAGAGCGAGAGUCUGUCUCAAAAAAUAAAAAUAAAAAGGCCAGGCGCGAUGGUUCACACCUGUAAUCCCAACCCUUUGGGAGGCCGAGGCGGGCGGAUCACCUGAGGUCAGGAGUUCAAGACCAGCCUGGCCAAUAUGGUGAAACCAACCCCGUCUUUACUAAAAAUACAAAAAAUUAGCCGGGCGUGGUGACGCAUGCCUGUAAUCCCAGCUAGUCAGGAGGCUGAGGCAGGAGAAUUGCUUGAACCCAGGAGGCGGAGGUUGCAUUGAGCGAGAUCACGCCAUUGCACUCCAGCCUGGGCAACAAGAGCGAAACUCUGUCUCUAAAAAAAAAAAAGAGCCUCCCUGCCUGAUUCUCCUGCCUCCGCCUGCGGAGUGCCUGCAAUUGCAGGCGCGCGCCGCCACGCCUGACUGGUUUUCGUAUUUUUUUGGUGGAAACGGGGUUUCGCUGUGUUGGCCGGGCUGGUCUCCAGCUCCUAACCGCGAGUGAUCCGCCAGCCUCGGCCUCCCGAGGUGCCGGGAUUGCAGACGGAGUCUGGUUCACUCAGUGCUCAAUGGUGCCCAGGCUGGAGUGCAGUGGCGUGAUCUCGGCUCGCUACAACCUCCACCUUCCAGCCGCCUGCCUUGGCCUCCCAAAGUGCCGAGAUUGCAGCCUCUGCCCGGCCGCCACCCCGUCUGGGAAGUGAGGAGCGUCUCUGCCUGGCCGCCAUCACAUCUAGGAAGUGAGGAGCCUCUCUGCCCGGCCGCCAUCCCAUCUGGGAAGUGAGGAGCGCCUCUUCCGGCCGCCAUCACAUCUAGGAAGUGAGGAGCGUCUCUGCCCGGCCGCCCAUCGUCUGGGAUGUGGGGAGCGCCUCUGCCCCGCCGCCCCGUCUGGGAUGUGAGGAGCGCCCCUGCCCGGCUGCCACCCCGUCUGGGAGGUGAGGAGCGUCUCUGCCCGGCUGCCCCGUCUGAGAAGUGAGGAGACCCUCCGCCCGGCAGCCACCCCGUCUGGGAAGUGAGGAGCGUCUCCGCCUGGCAGCCACCCUGUCCCGGAGGGAGGUGGGGGGGGUCAGCCCCCCGCCAGGCCAGCCGCCCCGUCCGGGAGGGAGGUGGGGGGGUCAGCCCCCCGCCCGGCCAGCCGCCCAGUCCGGGAGGGAGGUGGGGGGGGUCAGCCCCCCGCCCGGCCAGCCGCCCAGUCCGGGAGGGAGGUGGGGGGGUCAGCCCCCUGCCCGGCCAGCCGCCCCGUCCGGGAGGGAGGUGGGGGGGUCAGCCCCCCGCCCGGCCAGCCGUCCCGUCCGGGAGGUGAGGGGCGCCUCUGCCCGGCCGCCCCUACUGGGAGGUGGGGAGCCCCUCUGCCUGGCCAGCCGCCCCGUCCGGGUGGGAGGUGGGGGGGUCGGCCCCCCGCCCGGCCAGCCGUCCCUUCCGGGAGGUGAGGGGCGCCUCUGCCCGGCCGCCCCUACUGGGAAGUGAGGAGCCCCUCUGCCCGGCCACCACCCCGUCUGGGAGGUGUGCCCAGCAGCUCAUUGAGAACGGCCAGGAUGACAAUGGCGGCUUUGUGGAAUAGAAAGGGGGGAAAGGUGGGGAAAAGAUUGAGAAGUCGGAUGGUUGCCGUGUCUGUGUAGAAGUAGACAUGGGAGACUUUUCAUUUUGUUCUGUACUAAGAAAAAUUCUUCUGCCUUGGGAUCCUGUUGAUCUGUGACCUUACCCCCAACCCUGUGCUCUCUGAAACAUGUGCUGUGUCCACUCAGAGUUAAAUGGAUGAAGGGCGGUGCAAGAUGUGCUUUGUUAAACAGAUGCUUGAAGGCAGCAUGCUCAUUAAGAGUCAUCACCACUCCCUAAUCUCAAGUACCCAGGGACACAAACGCUGCGGAAGGCCGCAGGGUCCUCUGCCUAGGAAAACCAAAGACCUUUGUUCACUUGUUUAUCUGCUGACCUUCCCUCCACUAUUGUCCUAUGACCCUGCCAAAUCCCCCUCUGUGAGAAACACCCAAGAAUGAUCAAUAAAAAACAAAACAAAACAAAACAAAAACAAAAAAACAAAAAAAAGAAAAAAGAAAAAAAUGCACUUCAAGUUAUGCCCUUCCAAAUUUUUUCCUAUGCAUUUAUAUAUGUGUGUGCAUGCAAAGAGAUACAGUUUUGCUCUGUAUUUCAAAAAUUCACUUAGAGGAAUAGUUUAAUUUCUAAGGUAAACUUUAUUUGAAAAAAGGGCCCGCAGUAUUUUACUUUAACCAGAUACUGAGACUGAGUUUCACGGGAUGUGAGGAAAUGCCAGAAUCAGGGCUUGAUCAUGCUUAUUGUAGAUGGCCCUUUCCCCUCAGAAAUGGGAGAGAAAUUCGACUGUAGGAAGAGAAAUGGAAGGAUGAUCAGAAGUGCCU